AGUGAACGCUGGCGGUAGGCCUAACACAUGCAAGUCGAACGGCAGCACAGGAGAGCUUGCUCUCUGGGUGGCGAGUGGCGGACGGGUGAGGAAUACAUCGGAAUCUACUUUUUCGUGGGGGAUAACGUAGGGAAACUUACGCUAAUACCGCAUACGACCUACGGGUGAAAGCAGGGGACCUUCGGGCCUUGCGCGAUUGAAUGAGCCGAUGUCGGAUUAGCUAGUUGGCGGGGUAAAGGCCCACCAAGGCGACGAUCCGUAGCUGGUCUGAGAGGAUGAUCAGCGCAACUGGAAAUGGGACACGGUCCAGACUACUACGGGAGGCAGCAGUGGGGAAUAUUGGACAAUGGGCGCAAGCCUGAUCCAGCCAUACCGCGUGGGUGAAGAAGGCCUUCGGGUUGUAAAGCCCUUUUGUUGGGAAAGAAAUCCAGCUGGCUAAUACCCGGUUGGGAUGACGGUACCCAAAGAAUAAGCACCGGCUAACUUCGUGCCAGCCGCCGCUGUAA
rnacentral:rRNA from 1 species